rnacentral:rRNA from 1 species
ACUCCUACGGGAGGCAGCAGUGAGGAAUAUUGGACAAUGGAGGAAACUCUUGAUCCAGCCAUGCCGCGUGCAGGAUGAAUGCCGUAUGGGUUGUAAAGCUUUUAUCAGGAAGAAACAUUUCCACGUGUGGAACUUGACGGU